rnacentral:rRNA from 1 species
GACGAACGCUGGCGGCGUGCUUAACACAUGCAAGUCGAACGGAAAGGCCCUGCUUUUGUGGGGUGCUCGAGUGGCGAACGGGUGAGUAACACGUGAGUAACCUGCCCUUGACUUUGGGAUAACUUCAGGAAACUGGGGCUAAUACCGGAUAGGAGCUCCUGCUGCAUGGUGGGGGUUGGAAAGUUUCGGCGGUUGGGGAUGGACUCGCGGCUUAUCAGCUUGUUGGUGGGGUAGUGGCUUACCAAGGCUUUGACGGGUAGCCGGCCUGAGAGGGUGACCGGCCACAUUGGGACUGAGAUACGGCCCAGACUCCUACGGGAGGCAGCAGUGGGGAAUAUUGCACAAUGGGCGGAAGCCUGAUGCAGCAACGCCGCGUGCGGGAUGACGGCCUUCGGGUUGUAAACCGCUUUCGCCUGUGACGAAGCGUGAGUGACGGUAAUGGGUAAAGAAGCACCGGCUAACUACGUGCCAGCAGCCGCGGUGAUACGUAGGGUGCGAGCGUUGUCCGGAUUUAUUGGGCGUAAAGGGCUCGUAGGUGGUUGAUCGCGUCGGAAGUGUAAUCUUGGGGCUUAACCCUGAGCGUGCUUUCGAUACGGGUUGACUUGAGGAAGGUAGGGGAGAAUGGAAUUCCCUGUGGAGCGGUGGAAUGCGCAGAUAUCAGGAGGAACACCAGUGGCGAAGGCGGUUCUCUGGGCCUUUCCUGACGCUGAGGAGCGAAAGCGUGGGGAGCGAACAGGCUUAGAUACCCUGGUAGUCCACGCUGUAAACGGUGGGUACUAGGUGUGGGGUCCAUUCCACGGGUUCCGUGCCGUAGCUAACGCUUUAAGUACCCCGCCUGGGGAGUACGGCCGCAAGGCUAAAACUCAAAGGAAUUGACGGGGCCCCGCACAAGCGGCGGAGCAUGCGGAUUAAUUCGAUGCAACGCGUAGAACCUUACCUGGGUUUGACAUGGAUCGGGAGUGCUCAGAGAUGGGUGUGCCUCUUUUGGGGUCGGUUCACAGGUGGUGCAUGGCUGUCGUCAGCUCGUGUCGUGAGAUGUUGGGUUAAGUCCCGCAACGAGCGCAACCCUUGUUCACUGUUGCCAGCACGUUAUGGUGGGGACUCAGUGGAGACCGCCGGGGUCAACUCGGAGGAAGGUGGGGAUGACGUCAAGUCAUCAUGCCCCUUAUGUCCAGGGCUUCACGCAUGCUACAAUGGCUGGUACAGAGAGUGGCGAGCCUGUGAGGGUGAGCGAAUCUCGGAAAGCCGGUCUCAGUUCGGAUUGGGGUCUGCAACUCGACCUCAUGAAGUCGGAGUCGCUAGUAAUCGCAGAUCAGCAACGCUGCGGUGAAUACGUUCCCGGG